UACGGGGGGGGUAAGCGUUGUUCGGAAUUACUGGGCGUAAAGGGCUCGUAGGCGGCCAACUAAGUCAUACGUGAAAUCCCUCAGCUUAACUGGGGAACUGCGUGUGAUACUGGAUGGCUUGGAUUUGGGAGAGGGAUGCGGAAUUCCAGGUGUAGCGGUGAAAUGCGUAGAUAUCUGGAGGAACACCGUUGGCGAAGGCGGCAUCCUGGACCAAUAUUGACGCUGAGGAGCGAAAGCCAGGGGAGCAAACGGG
rnacentral:rRNA from 1 species